rnacentral:rRNA from 1 species
UAAUACGAAGGACCCGAGCGUUAUCCGGAUUUACUGGGUUUAAAGGGUGCGUAGGUGGACCUAUAAGUCAGUGGUGAAAUCCUGCAGCUUAACUGCAGAACUGCCAUUGAUACUGUUGGUCUUGAGUAUAGUUGAGGUAGGCGGAAUAUGUCAUGUAGUGGUGAAAUACUUAGAUAUGACAUAGAACACCGAUUGCGAAGGCAGCUUGCUAAGCUAUAACUGACACUGAUGCACGAAAGCGUGGGGAGCAAACAGGAUUAGAUACCCUGGUAGUCCACGCCCUAAACGAUGAUAACUCGUUGUUGGCGAUACACAGUCAGCGACUAAGCGAAAGCAUUAAGUUAUCCACCUGGGGAGUACGACCGCAAGGUUG